rnacentral:rRNA from 1 species
ACUUAAAGAUGAUGCCUGCCCAGUGGUUUAUAAAGUAGAAAAAAAUCUUAAAAUUUAAUUCAACGGCCGCUGUAUUCCUGACGGUGAUAAUGUAGGAAAAUAAAUAGUUGUUUAAUUGACGAACGUAGGUGAAUGGCUUUACGAGGUUUCCACUGUCUUAAAUAUAAAAAUCAAAAAAUUUAAAUAAUAGUGAAGAUGCUAUUUAAAACUGUAAGACGAGAAGACCCUAUAAAGCUUCACUAUAUUCUCAAAUUAUUUAUUAACACAUCUAUUUGUGUUUUUCUUUUUUGAGAGUGGUAGUUUGGUUGGGGCAACAGCAUUUUAAAAAUAAAAAAUGCAGCAUAUCAUAAUAUGUAAUAAUAUUAUAUUAUUGUUUAAUUCAUAAAUUUAACAAUCACAAAGUGGGUAUAAUGACCUGUCUUUUUUUUAAUUUAAUUAAUGACAAUAAAUAAAUAAAAGCUACUUUAGGGAUAACAGGUUAAUUUCAUCCUAAAGAUGCUAUUGAAGAUGGAGUUUGACACCUCGAUGUUGAAUUAAGUUAUCCUAGUAAUGCAGCAGUUACUAAAGGUUGGUCUGUUCGACCAUUAAAAAUCUU